UUAACUCGUUGAAUUUACACAAUCAAAAUAAUCAGAAAAUCUAAAGAUAGGGUUUAAUCAAAAUCAAAAUAAUCUAACAAAUCUAAGUUUGGUAAUCAAAAUCAAAAUAAUGGGGACAGAAAGGAGACGGAAGGUGAAUUUAUUUGACUUGGGGGACGACGGAACAGCGGCGGCGGCGAAGAUCAAUAGAUGGAAUGGACGGGUGUAUACCCCCAGAUAUUAUGAGAUAUUGAAAAAGAGAAAGGUUUUGCCAAUUUGGCGUAAAAAAGAUGAGUUUUUGAAAGAGUUUAGAGAGAAUCAGAUUUUGAUUUUGGUUGGUGAAUCUGGUUGUGGUAAAUCUACUCAGGAGCAUUGGAUGAUGAAGGAAAGUUGACCAAAUUGGGUGAAAUGAUGAGUGAAUUUCCACUAGAUCCUCAGAUGGGGAAGAUGCUUGCUGUGAGCCCAGAAUUCAACUGUUCGAACAAAAUUCUUUCUAUCUCAGCUAUGCUAUCAGCUACAGAUUACAUUUUUGUAUCUUUCACUUUUCAUGGAUUUUGUUUUAUCUUGUAGCGGAUGUGAGGUCAAGAUAUGUGGCUGCAUAUUGGUGAAUUUAUUUAAUCAUGCUUUUGCAUGGACCUUAUUUCCGCAUAUGGUGAUACGUGACUCGUGAGUAUGUGGUUAGAGAGGGGGAGGGAUUGCUUAAAUGUGCUCAUUGGAAGGAAGUCUUGUGAUAGAGAAAAAUCAGAAUCACAUAUCUAGCUGUAAUAAUUUGUUUUGCGGGGUGUAUUUGAAUGUGCUUCAUUUUUAAAGAUUAAAAUUUGAAAUGUGUUUGUCCUUGGGAUUUAGCCCAACUGGACAUUUAAUGUCCCUUAUGUCUUUCAGCCAAAUGUUGGUCACGGGUUCGAAACCUUUGAAAGGCAUAUUGGGAAGUCCUUGCCAAUGAGGUGGGGCAUGUGGGUUUUCUCUAACAUUUAGCUGGUUUCCUCCAGAACGGUAGUGGGACUUCCACCGCCAGUCAUGCCCUCGGAUUGACUGUGCUGGUGACUUGGUCG